AUACGUAGGGAGCGAGCGUUGUCCGGAUUUACUGGGUGUAAAGGGUGCGUAGGCGGCUGAACAAGUCAGGUGUGAAAACCAUCGGCUCAACUGAUGGAUUGCACUUGAAACUGUGCAGCUUGAGUGAAGCAGAGGCAGGCGGAAUUCCCGGUGUAGCGGUGAAAUGCGUAGAGAUCGGGAGGAACACCAGUGGCGAAGGCGGCCUGCUGGGCUUUAACUGACGCUGAGGCACGAAAGCAUGGGUAGCAAACAGGAUUAGAUACCCUGGUAGUCCAUGCUGUAAACGAUGAUUACUAGGCGUGGGUGGUCUGACCCCAUCCGUGCCGGAGUUAACACAAUAAGUACUCCGCCUGGGAAGUACGAUCGCAAGAUUAAA
rnacentral:rRNA from 1 species